GGGAGGCAGGACCGGGGAAUAUUGGCAAUGGCCGCAAGCCGGAGGCAGCGACGCCGCGUGGGGGAUGACGGUCUUGGGGAGGUUGACCUCUCUAAGCUUGGACCAAGCGCAAGUGACGGUACCUGCAGAAGAAGCACCGGCCAACUACGUGCCAGCAGCCUCGGGAAUACGUAGGGUGCGAGCGUUGCCCGGAAUUACUGGGCGUAAAGAGCUCGUAGGUGGUUUGUCGCGUUGUUCGUGAAAACCGGGGGCUUAACCCUCGGCGUGCGGGCGAUACGGGCAGACUAGACCACUGCAGGGGAGACUGGAAUU
rnacentral:rRNA from 1 species